UUGUCCAGCUUCAAGAGUCAUUGGUAUUGACUGACAUAUGAAUCUUCAAAUCCCAAAAUGAGCAACAGUUUCCAGAGUUUUACAACUCGCAUUAUUUUUAGCUGAUUACACAGUCCUCAUGAUUGAUCUUCCUGGAAUGGCUCUUCUGCAAGCCUCGAGGAGGGGAGAGGAAGGGUUUCAUGGAGACACACAUUUCCAUGGGUGAUAAGCUCGCAUCUGUUUUGAACUGUAAAAUGGUAGCUCGUUGUGAAAUCCUCUUGGAGCAUACCUUUUAAAUGCCAAACAAGCCCAGCAUCAGCAGCACAUAAAGAAAUAUUUGAAAGGCUCUGGAGGGAAGCCAAGAGGACGUGGCUAAUGUUUCACCUAACCUCACCCCCUCGCUGGCUGGCUGGCUCUGCCCGGCAGCCCUGCCUGUGUGACGUGAGCCUCCGAGCUCCGGCAGGCAGCUGCUCCUUGACUGCCUGCACUGUCUGCCCGGCUGGCAGCAGGACAAGGGAAACAAAGAGGCUAAAAACAUAAAGUAGCGAGAGAUUAGGAGCGGCGUGGCCGGGAGGGCAGCACGCCCUCCCUCAGGGCAGGGACGGGGUGGGAGUCCGGGCCUCUCCUGGCGGGCACCCACCCACAGAGCCACUGGGCUGGGCCUCACCUUUCCCUCCAGAAGGGUCCAGCACUGAGGAGACACAAAAUGAGGUUCUUUCACAACAGGCUGCUCUGCACAGUCAAAAAGAAAACAGAAUGAGCUCUGACCCUUGGACUGCCUCUGUCAAUCAGACUCGCUCAAUACACGAGUCAUCAGCAUCAGAGAGGGAGAAAAAAUACUCAGGAACUCACACCUAUCCCAUCUGCCAGCAGGCAGCAGAGGACACAGGAAGGACAUGCAUGGAAUGAGUGCUGGCUGGGGUGGAUGCAGAGGCCAGAGGGAUGACCCGGAGGGCUCAGCAGAUCUCUUGGGAACACCUAGGGAACUCCCUUGUCCCACCACCUACACAGCACUACUAAGUACAGGACAUGCUUCUGGAUCACACUGAAACUCCCCGGAACUCCCUUUCCACUGACACAUGCAAGAAAGCCUCUUUCUUAUACCACUCAUACAAAUAAAACAAUAGCACAGGAUAAAUCCUACUUUCUUUUUUACUCAAAUAAAUCCAACACAACUCUGUUGGUUUCAGGAGAGGAGCUUACAUUUCUGCAUCUUCCCACUUCCAGAAGAAAAUUCUCAACUUAAGUAGGGAGCAGGGAAUACCAGAUGUGGCUGGAGCGAUGCGAUUAAUGAGUAGCUGA